GUGUGACUCCAGUCGGCGUCUCAACAGUCUCCAGUGUCCACGCGUUGACUGCCAUGUGUGACUCCAGGCGGAAGAGCUUCCUCAUUUGCUGAGGGCUUUUCCUGAAUCCGUGUUGGAUGUGGUCAGCUGCCUUUCCUGCAUCUAGUGAGAUGCUCAUGAGGUCACUUCCUUACCGCAUUACUGUAGUGAAUUACGCUGACUUUCAUAUGCCAAGAUGACCUGGCAUUUCCAGGUAAGUCCCUGUGGCCGUGGUGCAUUGGCCUUUUCUCUGCAUGGCCAGAUGAGAUUUGCUCAUACCGGGCUAAGGACCUCCUGUGUAGGAAUGCUCAUGAGGGACACUGGGCUCAGAUGUUCAUUGUCUUGUCAUGUGAUGUGUCUGUCAUGGUUUGAUAUUGUAUUAAGUGGGCCUCCUGAAACAAGUUCUGCCAUAGUUUGUAUAGGAUUGGGAUUAUUUGUUUCAUAGAGAUGUGAUGGGUGAAGCCAUCUAUGCUUGCCAUUUUCUUUUUGCUUAGGUUUUUCAUUAAGAACUUGAUUUUUAAAAAUAGACAUGAGGCCUGGCAUGGUGGCUCACGCUUGUAAUCCCAGCACUUUGGGAGGCCAAGGUGGAUGGAUCACCUGAGGUCAGGAGUUUGAGACCAACCUAGUCAACAUGGUGAAACCCCGUCUCCAUUAAAAAUAUAAAAAUUAGCAGGGUGUGGUGGUGCAUGCCUGUAAUCCCAGCUACUCUGGAGGCUGAGGCAGGAGAAUCACUUGAACUCAGGAGGUGGAGGUUGCAGUGAGCUGAGAUCACACCACUGCACUCCAGCCUGGGCAACAGAGCGAGGUUCUGUCUCAAAAAAAAAAGACAUGAGGCUUUUGGAUUUUCUGUUUCUUCCUUUGUCAUUUUUUUAAAGAUAGGUUUGUCACAGAAUUUCAUCUAAGUUAUCAAAACAAUUUACAUAAAUCAUUCACAGUAUCCUCUGUGCAGUGAUGUCCAUUCUCAUUCCUGCUCUGGGCCAUUUGUGUUUUCUUUUCCCCCUGAUCAGACUGGCUAAGAGUUUAUCAUUUUUACAGAUAUUUUCCCCAAAGAAACCUACUUUUGGGUCCAUUGAUUUUUUUUUUCUGUUGUUUUCUUUUUCAUUGACUUUUGCUCUUUUCUUAUGAAUUUCCUUUCUUCUACCUAUUUUGUGUUCAAUUUGCUGUCCUUGUUUUAGGUUCUUUUGAUAGAGGCUUAGAUCAUUGAUGAAGAAUAUGAAAGAAUGGGAUAAUACAGUUAAAAACUUGGUCUACUUAUGCCCAUUAGAGAAAACAUUCUUAAGCACGCAUGGAAUCUUUUAAAAAUGGACGAGGUCCUAGGACCCAAAGCAAAUGUCAGUAAUUCGCAGAUGAUAAUGUAAUGUAUAAAUAUAUGAUAUGUAGGUAAAUAAUACAAAUCACAUUCUUUGGCCAGAGUGCAAUUGAGGAGGAAAUCAGUAACAAAAAGACAAUUAAAUCCAUUUGAUUUUUUUGUUUUCGUUUUGUAGUAACUUGCACUUCCCUGGUGCCAGAGGCACGACACCUUUUUGUCUGCUCUUGGCCAUUUGGGUGGCGUCUUUGGGAAGGGCCUACUUAAUUAUUUUGCCUAUUUAAAAAACUGGGUCUUGGAAAUCUUGUCUUUUUUUUUGAGUCAGGAUCUUUCUUGCACAGGCUUGGAGUGCAGUGGUGCGAUCAUAGCUCACUGCAACCUCAAACUCCUGGGCUCAAGCGAGCCUCCCACCUGGGUCUCCUGAGUAGCUGGGACUACAGGCAUGCAUCACUAUGCUCUGCUAAUUUAAAGAAAAGGUUUUUUUUGUAGAGACUGGGUCUCGCUGUGUUGCCCAGGCUGGUCUCGGAGUCCUGGUCUCAAGUGAUUCACCUGCCUCCACCUCGCAGAGUGCCAGGAUUACAGGUGGCGGGAGCCGCCACACCCAGCCUGGUCUUAGCGUUAUUCCCAGGUCUAGGUGUGAGUCCUUCCUCAGAUAUGUGUUGUGAAUAAUUUCCGAUCCUCUGGCUUGCUAUUUUACUUUCUUAAUGGUUAUCUUUUGGAAAGCAAAGGUUUCCAGUUUGAUGAAAUCUAAUUUUUAUUUUUUAUUUUUCCGUUCUAGUGGUCUUUCUAUUUUCUCAUCAAAUUGAGACUUUGGGGAAACUACAGAGCAGCAAACCAGGAUAUAUCCUCUUAAAAACAGCUCGAGCUGGCCGGGCGCAGUGGCUCACGCCUGUAAUCCCAGCACUUUGGGAGGUGGAGGUGGGCAGAUCACGUGAGGUCAGGAGUUUGAGACCAGCCUGGCCAACAUGGUGAAACCCCAUCUUUACUAAAAAUAAAAAAUUAGCCAGGCAUGGUGGCAGGCACCUGUAAUCCCAGCUACUUGGGAGGUUGAGGCAGGAGAAUGGCUUGAACCUGGGAGGCAGAGGUUGCAGUGAGCCGAGAUCGCGCCAUUGCACUCCAGCCUGGGGGACAAGAGCAAGACUUCGCCUCAAAAAAAAAAAAAAAAACCCCCAGCUUGAGCCAAGUGUGGGUGGCUCCCGCCUGGAAUCCCAGCACUUUGGGAGGCUGAGGUGGGCAGAUCACUUGAGGCCAGGAGUUUGAGACCAGCCUGGCCAACAUCACAAAAUCCCAUCUCUACUAAAAAUACAAAAAUUAACCAGGAGUGGUGGCAGUAUCUGCCUAUAAUCCCAGCUACUCGGGAGCCUAAGGCACGAGAAUCACUUGAAGCUGGGAGACAGAGUUUGCAGUGAGCCAAAAUCGUGCCACUGCUCUCCAGCAUGGAUGACAGAGCAAGACUCUGUCUCAAAAAAAAAAAGCUUGAAAAUUAAAAAAUAUCUCAAUAAUUAUGAGAUGCAGUGAUUUUUUUUUUACUUCCCUAAGCUGGGUUUCCAGGUAUCUCUAGGUUCAGCUCCUCCGGGGCUGGAAGUACAUGAAGGGCAGCAUUGCCCACCUUGACCAGAGCAGGCUCGGAGCAGGGCAGUGGAAGAGCUGGUCCCAGCUCAGCCCAGCCUGCUGGGUCAGCAUCCAUCUGAAAGGUCAUCUCUACCCAGGAACUUGGUGGCUUCCAGCUCCACCCUAACAGAAACCUCCCCAGCAUCUUGCCGAGUUGUAAUCCAGGGUGGUGGUGUAGACGGUCUUGGGGUAGCUGGUAUAGACGGUCUUGGGGUAGCUGGUAUAGACGGUCUUGGGGUAGCUGGUAUAGACGGUCUUGGGGUAGCUGGUAUAGACGGGCUUGGGGUAGCUGGUAUAGACGGGCUUGGGGUAGCUGGUAUAGACGGGCUUGGGGUAGCUGGUAUAGACGGGCUUGGGGUAGCUGGUAUAGACGGUCUUGGGGUAGCUGGUAUAGACGGGCUUGGGGUAGCUGGUAUAGACGGGCUUGGGGUAGCUGGUAUAGACGGUCUUGGGGUGGCUGGUAGUGGUGCCGAGGAGGUGUGUGGGCUGGUGCUGCAGCUGGAAGCGCACCUCAGCCAUGGUGUUGUGCCAGGUGUGGUUGGGGAUGCAGGGGACCUUCCGGCCGCAGGAGGCCCCUGCCAGGCAUAGGCAGCUGCGCGGUGUGGAAGAAGUGCCACUCGGAGUCGUGCUUGACAAGGAAGUACACCUUACUCCUCUCAGUGGUGAGGGGUCAAACCACUCCUUCCCAGCGAUGGGGCCAGCAGCCUGGCGAGGGCUAGGCACCGGGGAGGGAUGCUGGAUUUGGAGCUGGGGGGAAGGGGUCACCCUGCAUUGGGCUCCAGUGCUCCGGGUGCCAUGCCUGCUCCCCCACCACUGCCCCCGCUGCCGCCGCGGGACCCCAGGGGCUAGGGCUGAAGAGCAGCCUCGAGCCGGGCUGUCCAGGAUGCGGUCACCCUUCUUCCUCGUGUCCGUGAGCUCAGGCACAACCUGCAGCUUAGCCAGCCCACUAUGGCUGCGUGCGUGGCAGGGCCCGGGCCACCAUGGCUGCGUGCGUGGUAGGGCACAUGAUUAUUUUAGCCUCUGGUAUCACUAGCCAUCCCUAAAGUCUCCAAUGGUCUGUUCCUGUCUUUCCCUCUGGUUCACUUGUGGGGUCAUGUUGUCUUCUGUUCUUUGUUAUUUCUUAUUUUUUUCUUGAGACGGAGUCUUGCUCUGUCGCCCAGGCUGGAGUGCGUUGGUGCGAUCUCGGCUCACUGCAACCUCUGCCUCCCAGGUUCAAGCGAUUCCCCUGCCUCAGCCUCCCAAGUAGCUGGGACUAUGGGCACCUGCCACCAUACCCAGCUAAUUUUUCUGUGUGUGUGUGUGUGUGUGUGUGUGUGUGUGUGUGUGUGUGGGUGUGUGUGUGUUUUGUUUUUUGUUUUUUUUUUUGAGAUGGAAUCUCACUCAAUUGCCCAGACUGCAGUGCAAUGGCGCAAUCUUGGCUCACUGCAACCUCCACCUCCUGGGUUCAAGAAAUUCUCCUGCCUCAGCCUCGCAAGUAGCUGGGAUUACAGGCCCCUACCACCACAGUGGGCUAAUUUUUGUAUUUUUAGUAGAGACAGGGUUUCACCAUGUUGGCCAGGCUGGUCUCGAACUCCUGACCUCAGGCAAUCCGCCCACCUCGGCCUCCCAAAGUGCUGGGAUUGUAGGCAUGAGCCACCAUGCUUGGCCUAAUUUUUCUAUUUUUAGUAGAGACAGGACUUCACCAUGUUGGCCAGGCUGGUCUCAAAUUCCUGACCUCAAGUGAUGUGCCCACCUCGGCUGCCCAAAGUGCUGGGAUUACAGGCGUGAGCUUCCGUGCCCGGCCUGAACUGUUAAGUGUUUGUGAAGAAUUAUUUGGGGGCCUAUUUGAGAGCUGUUAUAUGGAUCAUCCUCCUGGAGAGGGUUCUUAGCCUCUGAGACCGGGUUUGGGGCUGAGGCUUUCUGACCCACACAAGUCAUGCUGACCCCUGAAGGGCCGCAGGCCAGAUCUUGCCAGGUGAGCACUUUCCCCGCUCACAUUCAGGAUAGGGCGAGGGGGUUGGUACUGAUUCACCCUGAGGGCCUAGAUUUGGGGGCUUCAGCUUGCUGCAGAUAGGUGCUCCCUUCACUCUCACCUGAGGCUGGGCUGGAGCCUGGUGUCUGCCCCACCCUGCUGGUCAGCCCCCCAGGACCUGAGCUCCGUAAGCCUGGACUGGCCACGCCCUGGGGCAGCAGCACUGGGUGCUUGGCGCUCACGACCUUCCUGGGCCCCUGCGUCCCUCACUUCUCCCUUGUUUCUACCUUCCUGGCUUGUCAGAUUCCCACAGCUCUUAAGGAGAAAUUCAGUAUUUACUGCAGCAUGUGUUUUCAGUGUGAUGGUUCGUCCAGGUACCCUAGCCUGUCGUUGCUGGAAUUGGAAAUCUUUGUUGUCUGCUGUUGUUUUGUGAAACAAGCGUGUGAGGUUAUAAGUUUCCCUCAACGUACCACACUAACCACAUUUCCCGAAGUUUUGAUGUGUAGUAUUUUCACUGCCAUUCAGUUCAAAAUAUUUUCUCAUUUCAA